rnacentral:tRNA from 1 species
GCCGCGAUAGCUCAGUUGGGAGAGCGUUAGACUGAAGAUCUAAAGGUCGUUGGUUCGAUCCCGACUCGCGGCA